GUUCUUGUGAAGAAAUCUACAGUGGAAUGGAUUUGUUUAAAACAAAUGUAUUUUAGCAAAUGUUCAACAGUUCAGUUAAUCAAUUACACAACACUAACAUUGUAUUGAAUCUUGCAUUCUGGCUAUUCUGUGUAUACUUGAUUUCUUUCCCCCACCCCUGUUACUCAUUGCCUAAUUAAAGCCAAUACAAGCUCCACACAAACUGAUAUUCACUACAACACAAAUGAUUGAUACAUGUCGAGGAUAAACAAAUUAUUUUGCUGCUAGCAAAUAAACACAUGUACAUUUACACUGGCUUGGCCCAUGCUCUGGACCGGAUCAGAUACGGCACAGUCCAUAGGCAGCGCACCUUGUUCUUCAUCCCCCUCAGUCGGAGCAGGAGGUUUCAGUCUUCUUUCCCAAACACCAGGUCUCAAGUAUAUAGUCAUUGCGAAUGAUUUCAGUCAGAAAUGCAUCUACGAUAGCUAGUAAGCUAAGGAUAAAAACAAUAGCAGAACUCGCUCCGGAAGUCAUCAACCCGGUCGGAAGUCAAUCAGAACGUUGGAGGCGGUAUAAUGUCAUGGAGCCUAUUAAAUAAUGUCAAGGAAUUAAGGCUUAAUCUGUCCAACACGCUCGAAAUCACGAUGACCUCAACAGUGUCCCUUUGUAAAAGAUUUCCUAAAGGUCUAAGACUCCAAGAUGGGAAAAUUCCUACAAGAAAGAAACAUAUGAUGACAGAGUCAGUUGUUGAUUUCCAUUGUUACCUGUUUUUCUAAAUUAGCUACUGUAUCUAUGCUAAUCACCAUCCUAUAGGCUAUAGAUUUGAGUCACCACCAGAGUAGUCCUUUUUAUGUUAUCUUUGUUUAAUCAAAUUAUGAAUCCUUAUUAUUUUGUAAAAAAUGAAUAGUAUUUUUAGAUGUUGCAAUAAAGUUGACUAAAGUAGUAGCUCAACUGUUGUUUGUAGGUAUUUUCACUUCAAUUUUCAUUUCCACUUCACUAAUGAGUAUUAGGCCCAAGUAAUUAUAUAGAAAUUGCUCAAUCCUGUGUAACACCUAAGAAAGAAAAUAAAAAUCCUUUCACUUGCAACUGCAUUUAUUUAUAGCAAACUUAACAUGUGUAAAUAUUUGUAUGAACAUAACAAGAUUCAACAACUGAGACAUAAACUGAACAAGUUCCACAGACAUGUGACUAACAGAAAUUGAAUACUGU
ensembl:lncRNA